UUGCUGGGUGGAUUAGUGGCGAACGGGUGAGUAACACGUGAGUAACCUGCCCUUAACUCUGGGAUAAGCCUGGGAAACUGGGUCUAAUACCGGAUAGGAGCGCCNACCGCAUGGUGGGUGUUGGAAAGAUUUAUCGGUUUUGGAUGGACUCGCGGCCUAUCAGCUUGUUGGUGAGGUAAUGGCUCACCAAGGCGACGACGGGUAGCCGGCCUGAGAGGGUGACCGGCCACACUGGGACUGAGACACGGCCCAGACUCCUACGGGAGGCAGCAGUGGGGAAUAUUGCACAAUGGGCGNAAGCCUGAUGCAGCGACGCCGCGUGAGGGAUGACGGCCUUCGGGUUGUAAACCUCUUUCAGUAGGGAAGAAGCGAAAGUGACGGUACCUGCAGAAGAAGCACCGGCUAACUACGUGCCAGCAGCCGCGGUAAUACGUAGGGUGCGAGCGUUAUCCGGAAUUAUUGGGCGUAAAGAGCUCGUAGGCGGUUUGUCGCGUCUGUCGUGAAAGUCCGGGGCUUAACCCCGGAUCUGCGGUGGGUACGGGCAGACUAGAGUGCAGUAGGGGAGACUGGAAUUCCUGGUGUAGCGGUGGAAUGCGCAGAUAUCAGGAGGAACACCGAUGGCGAAGGCAGGUCUCUGGGCUGUAACUGACGCUGAGGAGCGAAAGCAUGGGGAGCGAACAGGAUUAGAUACCCUGGUAGUCCAUGCCGUAAACGUUGGGCACUAGGUGUGGGGACCAUUCCACGGUUUCCGCGCCGCAGCUAACGCAUUAAGUGCCCCGCCUGGGGGAGUACGGCCGCAAGGGCUAAAACUCAAAGGAAUUGACGGGGGGCCCGCACAAGCGGCGGAGCAUGCCGGAUUAAUUUCGAUGCAACGCGAAAAAACCUUACCAAGGCUUGGACAUGUUCCUC
rnacentral:rRNA from 1 species